rnacentral:rRNA from 1 species
GUGCCAGCAGCCGCGGUAAUACGGAGGGUGCAAGCGUUGUUCGGAAUUAUUGGGCGUAAAGAGCGUGUAGGCGGUCGGGUAAGUCAGAUGUGAAAUCCCUUGGCUUAACCAAGGAAGUGCAUUUGAAACUGUCCGGCUUGAGUACGGGAGGGGGAAGUGGAAUUCCCGGUGUAGAGGUGAAAUUCGUAGAUAUCGGGAGGAACACCGGUGGCGAAGGCGGCUUCCUGGACCGAUACUGACGCUGAGACGCGAAAGCGUGGGGAGCAAACAGGAUUAGAAACCCCCGUAGUCC